rnacentral:rRNA from 1 species
CCUACGGGGGGCAGCAGUGGGGAAUAUUGGGCAAUGGGCGAAAGCCUGACCCAGCAACGCCGCGUGAAGGAAGAAGGCUUUCGGGUUGUAAACUUCUAUCGACAGGGAAGAGCAGAAGACGGUACCUGUAGAAUAAGCCACGGGAAACUACGUGCCAGCAGCCGCGGUAAUACGUAGGUGGCAAGCGUUGUCCGGUUUUACUGGGUUUAAGGGGUGCGCAGGCGGCCUGUUAAGUCAGCGGAAAAAGCCCGGGGCUAAAGCCCGGCGAGCCGUUGAAACUGGCGGGCUGGAGUUGGAGAGAGGUACGCGGAAUGCGCGGUGUAGCGGUGAAAUGCUUAGAUAUCGCGCAGAACCCCGAUUGCGAAGGCAGCGUACCGGCUCCACACUGACGCUGAGGCACGAAAGCGUGGGUAUCGAACAGGAUUAGAUACCCUAGUAGUC